AGCAGCCGCGGUAAUUCCAGCUCCAAUAGCGUAUAUUAAAGUUGCUGCAGUUAAAAAGCUCGUAGUUGAAUUUCGGGAUCAAUAUGUCGGUCGUGCCUCGGUACGUACUGGCUUAUUGGUUUCUCCUUUCUGAAGAACCAUGAUGUCAUUUAUUUGGUGUCGUGGGAAAUCAGGACUGUUACUUUGAAAAAUUAGAGUGUUUAAAGCAGGCUCACGCUUGAAUACAUUAGCAUGGAAUAAUGAAAUAGGACGUUUGAUUCUAUUUGUUGGUUUCUAGGAUCGACGUAAUGAUUAAUAGGGAUAGUUGGGGGCAUUAGUAUUCAAUUGUCAGAGGUGAAAUUCUUGGAUUUUAUUGAAGACUAACUACUGCGAAAGCAUUUGCCAAGGAUGUUUUCAUUAAUCAAGAACGAAAGUUAGGGGAUCGAAGACGAUCAGAUACCGUCGUAGUCU
rnacentral:rRNA from 1 species